rnacentral:rRNA from 1 species
AGUGAACGCUGGCGGUAGGCCUAACACAUGCAAGUCGAACGGCAGCACGGGAGAGCUUGCUCUCUGGGUGGCGAGUGGCGGACGGGUGAGGAAUACAUCGGAAUCUGCUUUUUCGUGGGGGAUAACGUAGGGAAACUUACGCUAAUACCGCAUACGACCUACGGGUGAAAGCAGGGGACCCUCGGGCCUUGCGCGAUUGAAUGAGCCGAGGUCGGAUUAGCUAGUUGGCGGGGUAAAGGCCCACCAAGGCGACGAUCCGUAGCUGGUCUGAGAGGAUGAUCAGCCACACUGGAACUGAGACACGGUCCAGACUCCUACGGGAGGCAGCAGUGGGGAAUAUUGGACAAUGGGCGCAAGCCUGAUCCAGCCAUACCGCGUGGGUGAAGAAGGCCUUCGGGUUGUAAAGCCCUUUUGUUGGGAAAGAAAUCCAGCUGGCUAAUACCCGGUUGGGAUGACGGUACCCAAAGAAUAAGCACCGGCUAACUUCGUGCCAGCCGCCGCGGUAA